rnacentral:lncRNA from 1 species
CUUACGGUUUCUUCUACUUCUAAUUAAGUAUUAGACUCUGACUCGAGUGCUCAUAUAUGUACCUCAAUACAGGGUCUGAUAGAAAGUAGGAGGUUAAGGAAAGGUAACAUGAUCCUUCGGGUUGGUAAUAGAGCAAAAGUUGCUGCAGAGAUCGUUGGCACUUACCCUCUUUGAUUAUCAUCUCGCGUUAGAUUAGAUUUGAAAGACUGUUAUUAUAUUCUUGUAGCU